UGGGGAAUCUUCCGCAAUGGGCGAAAGCCUGACGGAGCAAUACCGCGUGAGGGAGGAAUGCCUUUGGGUUGUAAACCUCUUUUCUCAGGGAAGAAGAUCUGACGGUACCUGAGGAAUAAGUACCGGCUAACUCCGUGCCAGCAGCCGCGGUAAUACGGAGGAUGCAAGCGUUAUCCGGAAUCAUUGGGCGUAAGCGUCCGCAGGUGGUUUCCAAAGUCUGCUGUUAAAGACUGGAGCUCAACUCCGGAACGGCGGUGGAAACUUGGAAACUAGAGUUCGGUAGGGGUAGCAGGAAUUCCCAGUGUAGCGGUGAAAUGCGUAGGUAUUGGGAAGAACAUCGGUGGCGAAGGCGUGCUACUGGACCGUAACUGACACUCAGGGACGAAAGCUAGGGGAGCGAAAGGGAUUAGAUACCCCUGUAGUCCUAGCUGUAAACGACGGAAACUAGGUGUGGCUUGA
rnacentral:rRNA from 1 species